UUCCGUAGGUGAACCUGCGGAAGGAUCAUUAAUGAUUGGCCUAACGGCCUUAUCAACAUAAUCCCUCACCUCUGUGAACCGUUGACCUCCGGGUCUACAUAACAAACAUCAGUGUAAAGAACGUCUUUAUAUUUUAACAAAAUAAAACUUUCAACAACGGAUCUCUUGGCUCUCGCAUCGAUGAAGAACGCAGCGAAAUGCGAUAAGUAAUGUGAAUUGCAGAAUUCAGUGAAUCAUCGAAUCUUUGAACGCACCUUGCGCCUUUUGGUAUUCCGAAAGGCAUGCCUGUUUGAGUGUCAUGAAAUCUCAAUCCCCCCGGGUUUUCUGAACCCGAGGUGGACUUGGACAUGGGUGUCUGCCGUCUCGUACGGCUCGCCUUAAAUGACUCAGUGGGAUCUUCAGCAUCCGUGGCAGACGUAAUAAGUUUCGUCUCGUCCCUUGCUGUGAGGACCGCUCAUAACCUGCCAUCGCGCACCACUUUUGACUCUGACCUCAAAUCAGGUAGGACUACCCGCUGAACUUAAGCAUAUCAAUAA
rnacentral:rRNA from 1 species